GAGAUCAUUUUUAGCAGAGUGCGCACUUGUGCUGGAAACUCUCCUCUCUCCGAGUGCCAACUUUCUCGUCUCGAAGAGCUUAAUAAGGACGUUUUUAUGACCUUAUUCUUUUAAGAUAUAACUCUUAAAUUACUUUUUAAAUAUCUGCGCCACCUAUCUUUGUGAGUUUAACUCAGUAUGCGCUUUACCUCGUGAAGAAGAUAAAUCCUGUACGUUUGCCCGCAAAACAUCAUGUUCAGAAAUGUGGGAAAGAUGACCGCGGACGAUAUUUCGUCAAGAUGCAUUGAGUUUGCCAAAGAUCAGUUAUAUUUCGCCAUACUAAAGCAGAAGAUCAAGAGCACAGCCGAGAGACACUGUUUCUGCAUAGAUGAAGAGCUGGCAUAUGAGAACUUCUAUGCGGACUUUGGUCCCCUUAACCUGGCCAUGUUUUAUCGCUUCUGUUGCAAGCUGACAAAGAAGCUAAAGUCCAUCACAAUUUCAAGAAAGAAGAUUAUAUUUUACACAUGUGGGGAUCAGAAGAAACAAGUCAAUGCUGCCUACCUGAUUGGCUCAUAUGCAGUAAUGAAUCUAAACAUGUUACCAGAAGAGGCCUACAGUCUGCUGGUGUCAAGGAACUCAACUUUUAUUCCAUUCAGAGAUGCCUCGUUUGGAACCUGCAUGUACAAUCUGAACAUCCUGGACUGCCUCCGUGCUGUUCACAAGGCUCUACAGUAUGGCUGGCUCGACUUCUCCAACUUUGACGUGGAGGAAUACGAGCACUACGAGAGGGCGGAAAAUGGAGACUUCAACUGGAUCAUUCCAGGAAAGUUCCUUGCUUUCAGUGGGCCUCAUCCAAAAAGCAAAAUAGAGAAUGGGUACCCUUUGCACGCUCCCGAGGCCUACAUCCCGUACUUCAGGAACCACAACAUCACAGCCGUCGUCAGACUCAACAAGAAGAUGUAUGAUGCCAGACGGUUCACAGAGUCUGGCUUUGAGCAUCACGAUCUGUUCUUUGUGGACGGGAGUACACCAAAUGAUUCCAUUGUUAGGAAGUUCCUCAACAUCUGUGAGAACGCAGAAGGAGCCAUUGCUGUACACUGCAAAGCUGGCCUGGGGAGGACUGGCACUCUGAUUGGCUGCUACAUGAUGAAACAUUACCGCAUGACUGCUGCAGAGGUCAUUGCCUGGAUACGGAUCUGCCGACCAGGGUCCAUUAUUGGACCUCAGCAGAACUUUGUUGAAGCAAAACAGAACAACCUGUGGGCAGAGGGUGAUAUUUUCCGGGAGAAGAUGCUGAAUGAACGAGAGAAUGGAAAGAUGGCCGUGACCAGGAUCCUGUCCGGAGUGGACGAUAUCACCAUCAAUGGGAGCAACAAGAACAGAGCAUCCAAGAAGGAAGAAGUGGAACUGUAUAAUGAUGAGGACGAGAGAAACGGUCUCACACAGGGUGAUAAACUGCGAGCUCUGAAGAGCAAGAGACAGUCCAGAUCCUCCACAGGCUCACUAUCGCAGGUGGUAGUGUUCUGCUGCAGCCUCAUGGGCACGGUGUGGCCGAUGUGUUGCCUGCCGUUCAAAAGAUAGCAGAGAGGCAGAGAGAGAGAGAGAGAAAGAGAGAGGGGGAGAGGAUGUGAGGUUUUGUAUGAUGGAGGUAAGUGCACAUCACUUCCUUUCAAGCUGACAUCCUCUUCCUGUAGAUAAUGGUUGCUAUGCCAGAGAAUGGUAUGGCUGACUUGAAGUUUUUGUUCCUUUUCUUUUAUUUCUUUCCUUGGAUGACUCUGGUGUGAAGUGGAUAUGCACUUAAUGGAUGCUAUACAUUUGACACGCCUUUCAUUAUCUGCCUCUCAUGGACUCGCUGAGCUGUUUGCUUUGAUAUCAGGGCUUAUCUGAGAUACCCUCAGAGUUACAGUGUCUCAAGCUGAGCCUACUGUACAUGUUAAAUACUGCAGCAAUGAUUCAACUAAUCACAGUUUCAUGUGAGAUCUGGAUAGUUGAAUUUACUACUUUAGUGCUUGGCUUGCAUCAAUGAUUUUGGGACUAUUACAAAAUAAAAUUGUUAGGUAAACCAGGAAAGUAUUAGGUGCUAUGGAAGUGUUUAAUAAUCAUUCUAAACAAGCUUUAUCUAGUUGUUUUAAUAAGUUAAAUAUGCAGCAUUAAAUAGCAUUAUUGGGAUGGUACAGUCUACAUUAUCUGGACUGAAAUAUACAAUUGAAAACGUGAGCUUCUGGGGUCACAGGGAGGAAAAUGGUCUCUCCAUUCUGAGGAGAGAGUUGAGGCAGAAAGGAGAUUUGCUUGCACUUUAAGCCUUAUCAGUUAAUGCAUUGCUACACAAACAUCUAACAUCCAGCAGAAUUCACCAUCUGGCUCCACUGUUUGUUUUAUUUUGUAACACAGAGGUGCAUGUUAGAAUUCCUGAGAACAUUAUACAGGGGGGAAAAAGUUUCUGUAUCUUUUCUGCCUUUUCAUGCAUGGCAACCUGGCAACAGGCAUGAAACCCUUCGACAUGCACGCAUGGACAUGCCUCUAUGUUUGAUCUCUGUUUGUGUCUAACAUGUUGUUAAUGUUGACCCGGGUUCAUCGUCAAUUGCCUGUUGUUUUUCCAUUGCUUUCUGUGACUGGAUCAGUGUACACAUACCAUCAGAGCAGAUGUUAAUGUUAAGUAAGUACCAGAGCUUGACUGACAUUGGUAAUCAAUCUCUUUUAUAAAUGUAUUUAAAGUGAUGACGCAUUUUCUUUUGUAUAGUGUUGUUUUUAAUAAUAAUUAUGGUGUCAGCAACUGAAACAACUUAAAAUGUGAUAUAUAAUUUCUAUUUUAAGUAUCCAUUUGUUUCCUUAGCAAACCACAAAAAUCUGCUAUACUUUCAAUAACUCUUUAUUUUUCCAAAAGUUUCUAUGACAUGUUUUAUUAAUCAGUAUAUUAUCAGCCCUUUUUGAACUCUCAUUUAUCCCUACGUACUUAAAAACUCCCACACUGCUCAGGCUCUAAGUAUAGAGCAAAGUGCUAACACAUCAGAGCUAGUGAAGGACAAAAACUUGCUGACUGGCGCUCUAUGAAAGGUAUUCCAUCUAAUCCAGUCCCAGUGGAAAAGCAGAACAUCAGAGGCUUUGUGUCCUGCCUGGACGUCUCUUGUCUCUCCUUUCUUUUUUUCCCCCUUUUUUUUCGUUUGCUCUUGUUGUUGGAUUUGUCCUCCUUUCAGAUGGCUGGUAGCCAUGCUGCUCUCCUCCCUGUGUAGCCUUGCCCUGUGGUGGAUUGUGUAUGGCUUCCCUUCUUCCAUCCUGCAUUUCUGUAUAGACGGGUUAGGAUUUCAAUGAGUUCUACCGUCCGUCAGCCCCCCCAAAAACCUGUCCUGCCCCCCUUCUGGAGUUCUAACUGAGAAUGCUACAAGAGGAGAAUAAGAUUCACACCAGGUCAUCAUCACAGUCCCUAAGCGCUGUCAUCCUGCAGGCCAGUGUUCAGGGCUGUAAAGCCGGCGUCACCCCUCUGGCACUCUCUGACCACUCAGACAGCAGGAAGAGGAGCAGAACCUCGCUGCCAGCCAGAGGAGGAAGCUCCCUGUGCCACACCAGACUGGUCAGGUCUCUAGGAAACUUGCAUGUAGUGGCUGGCGACAGAGACCCAAUGUGUUGUGAGCCAUGUGGCAGCCAUAGAGACACAGCCAGUACCACAGCAAACACAGGCCACCUCAUCAACUUAAAUAUGGCACAGAUCCACCUGCAGACGCACUGUCUCCAGAGGACGUAAAGCUCGCAGCUCUUUGCAAACACUUCGAUUUUCCAGGCUAUGUCACUCCAUACCCAAGGCUAGAGCUCCUAUUCUACGGUGAGCCCAUAGAUCUGGAAACUGGAAUUUUGGAGGAAUCCAAAUUCUGCACAGCAAAGCCACUCUGUUCAUGGAUUUUUAAUUUGGUAAAAUGUUAGAACAAACUUUAACCAACAUACUGUGACAUGUAAACCAUUUAUGAAUUGUUUGAUUACAAGUUAUAUGGCUCUUAAAGCACUUUGGUUUUUAUAUUUUUAACGACGCAUCAUGUAACAGUUCUAAUCAUUGCCUUGUUCCUUCUUAUCAAAGCAUGCAGUAGCAAAUGUCUGACUGGCAUGUGAAUCUGAGUCGUCUGCAGCAGACACUCUGGAUUAUCAGAGGGGAGAUUCACAUUCAGUUUGAAACAUUUAGAGACCAUUUGGCCAGGAGGUUGGAAUAUAGCCCAACUCUUGGCCUUCCACCAAAAGAUACAAUACUGUGUACAUUUAUACCUCCAUCCAAUACCUGGCUUGUCUUAUUUACUUUUGAAGCUUUUCAGCUCCUGUAUUUCAAGAUUGUAAAUAUGUUGACAUUUGAUAUACCCAGUUUGUAUUUUUUAAAUAUUUUGUACUAUGUUUGAAUCAUGUAAUGAAAUGUCAGCGGUCCUAAUGGGGCCUUGUCUCAAAUCAUGUUCAUAAUCCACUCAAAACAUUUGCUUAAAGCACACAGAACCAGACUUUUUAAAUAAAACUAUACUUCAAAAGA